GCCUGGGUGGCUCAGUCGGUUAAGCAUCUGACUUUGGCUCAGAUCGUGAUCUCACGGUUAGUGAGUUCGAGCCCCGCGUCAGGCU
rnacentral:tRNA from 1 species